rnacentral:rRNA from 1 species
UACGUAGGGGGCAAGCGUUGUCCGGAUUUAUUGGGCGUAAAGAGCGUGUAGGCGGCCUGAAAGGUCAGCUGUGAAAACUCGAGGCUCAACCUCGAGACGUCGGUUGAAACCAUCUGGCUAGAGUCCGGAAGAGGAGUGUGGAAUUCCCGGUGUAGCGGUGAAAUGCGCAGAUAUCGGGAAGAACACCCGUGGCGAAGGCGGCACUCUGGGACGGUACUGACGCUGAGACGCGAAAGCGUGGGGAGCUAACAGG